GCUACAUGGAGUAGAUAAACGUAAUUUAUAAAUAUAACCUUAACUGGAGUAAAAUAAGACAUAUAUAGAAAGGUCACGGAAAGGUACGGAAUCAAAUUCAAUAAUGUCGACUUGGCCAUAGUUUUAGGAAAUAAAAUUUCAUGAUAGAUUCAAACGAGAUAUUAUAAAACUAUAUGACAAUGGGAGUGUGUGGCAUAGAGGACGAACAAAUUCUAGCUACCGUGUUAACAAUACUGGCCUGUAUGAUAGAUGUAAUAGGUUUUGCAGCCCCAUACUGGUAUUUUGAUAAAAGCGGUAAGGAAGAUAUAUAUUUUGGAAUAUGGCAAUAUUGUACAUCGAAUCCUGCAACAUCUUGUAUUGAUCUUCCGAACAUUCAAGCAUGGCAAGUUGUAGUUCAAGCAAUGGAGUCUAUUGGACUGGUGUUUCUUUUCUUAGCUCUAUUCUUCCUUUAUCCCAAGCUGUUUUGUUGUGAAAGAAGUGAUUGUCUUAGAUAUCUAGUGGUUUGUUUCCUACUGUCAUCAGCUACUUUUGUUUUAAUAGGGGUAAUCAUAUAUGGAACAAUGGCGCCACUGGACUGGAUAGACAACAUAUACUUCGGCUUCUGUUUUGUAAUAAUCUCAGCAGGAAUUGCAGUUACUUCUGCAUGUUUUAUCUGUCUUUGACAGCAAAUAAGAAAGUUGUUCCAUCUUAUGCAUUCAUUUCAAACACUACGCGAUUAUAACAAAGCAUGCUUAUAACUAUAUUAAUUAUCAUAAGUGUAUGUUAAGCGUGUAGUAAUAAUUGACGGAUUUAGCUUGCCACAGUAUUCACGUCUUGCUAUACAAUAAUGAUAUAAACACUGUUAUUAAAUUGUCAGACUGUUAUGUUUCAUUUAGUUCAUAUAGGUUCCUAUUGACCGUCAACCAAUCUCUUUUAAAACCAUGUCAACCCUUCAAAGUCAAACUAAAUUUGAAUGGAAGAUGGUAAAUAUAUUGUAAUGAUAAAUAAGAUGUAGAUUUUUAAAUUGAAUGGUUUUCUGUGAAGUUGGUUGUUCCAUUGUUUCUCGGCAGACUCUCGACAGAAAAACGACAUUUAUGAGAGGUGUCACAGUAUGAGGAAACUGUUAACAAUGCCUUAGAUGUUAUAUGGCAUCGCUGCCGCUGUAGAAGGAGGCUGGGAUCCACUCACAGAUAUAAAUUUUAUAUUUAAACAAAACGUAUCAGGCAGAAUCUUAUAUUUAUGUAGCUUCGUAAAAUAGAAAUUGUUGGGAUAAAUAUUUGAAAAAAGGUAUUAAUAUUGAUUGUGCGAUGGAUUUAUAACUUUUAAUAAUUAACAUUAUUUUGUAAAUAAUCAAUAUCCAUAUUUUACCCUAAACAUAAUAUAUUAGACAAGAAAAUGAUUAGAUUGCAAUGCAAAAAAAUCUAUUGUGACAGAUAUCUGACAUACAUUUUGGACAUAUUGGUGAUACAAUUAUUACUUAACUUUUAUGUUCUUCAGUAAGGUGUCUCCGGACAAUUAUCAAGUAUCACGAUUGUCAAAGAGACCUUUGUUAUAUUUAGGACAUUAACUUAAUAUACAAUAUUUUCAUCCUAUUUCGGACAGUUACCAUAUUUGUUUGGGUUGAAUUAGGUUGUAACGAAUUCAUAGACGGAUGGAUUUAUUAAGCAAUAAUUGUAUCGUCCCAUAUGUCCACAAUGUAUGUCAAAUAUCUGUCACAAUAAAUAUCUUAUAUAUAAAUCGUUCCAUCUAAAAUCACGGGCAUCAUAGAGCGUAAUACAUUUUCCACAUUUCGUGAUUUUACCACAGUGUGAACUUCGUAUCCAACGAAAGCCAAACGACUUAAAAAUAAAAAUAAAUAACGCCAAUACAGAUCCUAGAUCCGAGGAAGAAUAAAUGUUACAAAGCUGUCUUUUGUGGAAAAAAUACAUUUGUCCUAUCCAGUCUCUUGCUUGGGGCCCAUUCCCCCUCCAACAAAACGUCAUUUACGAAUCGUAAAUUUUCUAAUAAAAAAGAUUAGUGUAUAUGAAAUUCCCCAAUCAUGUCACAUUAAGUAUAUUAAUGUAAAAUAAAAAAAAAAAAAAAUUUCGAAGAGAAGUUCACAGAAAAAUACAACACGCCUACCAAAGGACACAAGUGAAAUGUUUGACGAACAAAUAAAAUACAGUAUGUUGUCCUGGUCUGUGUUAUUCAAUAUAUUUUUUUCUCAUUAAAUCGUUGGCUGGUGAGUUAAAUGUCUGCCGCCGAAAUUUGGAUCGAUUAUUGAAUAAAAAUUCAGUUGUAAUAUUCCGCGGCUCUACGGUGGCUACAUAUCCUCGCGAGUGGGAGAGCCGAUCACGGUGAGGGACAUAAUUUGGGUUAGUUUUUGACAUGUUAAAUGAGAAACGCAUUUGUUUUAACCGAAAAAGGUAGAGAAGUUUGAAUGGUACAUGUAUAAUAGACUAAUCAUAUCAUUUUUAAAGUUAGAUUUUAUCAUGUUAUUUUGCACAAGGAAUUAUAAAGCAAUGAAUUAAAGUUAUCCUGAGUCUGUUCCCUGUUCGAUGUUUGUUGGUGUGUUUUUAUUUGUUGUGGAAAUUCUCUAUUAGUACGUAAAAUCAUAUUCACGAGAUUAAAGGAACAUGUAGUCUC